rnacentral:rRNA from 1 species
CCUACGGGCGGCUGCAGUGAGGAAUAUUGGUCAAUGGACGAGAGCCUGAACCAGCCAAGUAGCGUGAAGGAUGAAUGCCCUAUGGGUUGUAAACUUCUUUUAUAUGGGAAUAAAACGUUCCACGUGUGGGAUUUUGUAUGUACCAUAUGAAUAAGGAUCGGCUAACUCCGUGCCAGCAGCCGCGGUAAUACGGAGGAUCCGAGCGUUAUCCGGAUUUAUUGGGUUUAAAGGGAGCGUAGGUGGCUUUUUAAGUCAGUUGUGAAAGUCUGCGGCUCAACCGUAAAAUUGCAGUUGAAACUGGCAGGCUUGAGUACGGUAGAGGUGGGCGGAAUGCGUGGUGUAGCGGUGAAAUGCUUAGAUAUCACGAAGAACUCCGAUGGCGAAGGCAGUUCAC